AGCAAUGUAGGCAAGGGAAGUCGGCAAAAUGGAUCCGUAACUUCGGGAAAAGGAUUGGCUCUGAGGGCUGACUCUAGGCACUUGAGAGGUGGGGUCCCAGUCCCGAAGGCCGUCGGCUGUUCGGCGGACUGCUCGAGCUGCUACCGCGGCGAGAGCAGGUCGCCGCGUGACCUUCGAAUUCGGCUAGAGGUGUCGGGGGACGGACUGGGAACGGCUCUUUCGGGGGCCUUCCCGGGCGUCGAACAGCCAACUCAGAACUGGUACGGACAACUGAACGGGAAUCCGACUGUUUAAUUGGCCCCAAAAACAAAGCAUUGCGAUCUCGAGGGCUUCUCCACCUUCACCCGAUGGCGAGACGGACUCACAACCAAUGUGAGCGGCGAGAUGGGAAUUCAAGGUUACCUUUCGUACUAU
rnacentral:ncRNA from 1 species